GACCAGUUUCAGCAGUUACUUAUCUAUCUGAUUUCAAACUAUUUGAGGUUGUCUUUGCUAUUCCAUCUUCAUCUGAGCCUGCUCCGACAGAGAACUGUGGCAGCCUCUGCCGAGCUUACAUGGAAGCAAUGUGGAACCUAAUUCAAACACCUGGGCUCGUUAACUUCAACGGUGAACAAAGAAGGCUUGCUCUUUUUGCAGCUGUGUUUCUCCCGUUUAGGAAAACUGUUUGCAAGGAUAAGAAGGGUAAACCGGUACUGUAUAUCUCAAUUGAGUAUUUUUUUUAUUAUUAGCUUAGCUAAAAUCUUGAGUUUGAUUCUCUAGCAAACAAAACAUGUUCCCUUCUCCAUGACGCUGAAACAGUAAGAUCUGUUUAUUUCUAAUGUUCAGUGUCUUAAUCCCCAAGUGCAUCACUACAUGGUAACAAAAACUACCUUGUCCAGGUUAUCAAUAUACACAAUGCUGCAGAGAGAUUCCUGCCAUUGAUUCUCCCUCUUCAGCUGAAGGAUCCUUUUCAACUUGUCAAUGUUGACUGGGCUACUGAUGUUCUUGAGCACUGGGAAUCCAUUUCCCUAAAUGAUCCAGAGGUCCCGGCUACAUCUAAAAUAAGAGUAGUCACAGGUUUCUUCUUAGAGAUAUC